rnacentral:lncRNA from 1 species
GAUAUGUUAUUACUAGGAUGAUAGACAUAUCAAGUGUAGAUCGUUGUGCACCAUAUAAGUUGGUUAUUUUCUUAACCAAGGAGUGUGAAAAUGCUGGUACGGUAUGCAGGUGAAAUAUAAGAGUACAUUUCACUGAAUAUAACCAACUCUAGAGCACUCUGCUGUCAAGAGUUAUUUAGAAAGGAUAUGGAUAUAAGUAUCUCUC